GACGAACGCUGGCGGCGUGCUUAACACAUGCAAGUCGAGCGGAGCGGCGAACGGGUGAGUAACGCGUGAGUAACUGCCCCCCUCUCCGGGAUAACAGUUGGAAACGGCUGCUAAUACCGGCUAGUGGGGGAUGACUCGCGUCCUAUCAGCUUGUUGGUCGGGUAGUGGCCGACCAAGGCGACGACGGGUAGCCGGCCUGAGAGGGCGACCGGCCACAUGGGGCUGGGCUACGGCACACACUACUACGGGAUGCAGCAGUGGGGAAUAUUGCACAAUGGGGGAAAGCCUGAUGCAGCAACGCGCGUGCGGGAUGACGGCCUUCUGGUUGGAAACCGCUUUCAGCCAGGACGCGGUAGUGGCAGAAGAAGCACCGGCUAACUACGUGCCAGCAGCCGCGGUAAUAC
rnacentral:rRNA from 1 species